rnacentral:ncRNA from 2 species
AGCUGGUUCCCUCCGAAGUU